rnacentral:lncRNA from 1 species
UAUUAAUAAAGAUAAUAAUAAUUUAUUAUAUUGAAAAAAUAUAGCACAAAUGACAUAAAUACUCUUAACAAAUUUAUUUGAAAAAUGUUAAAUAAGGACAAAAGAGACAUUUUACACUUUGCACCAUUUUGCACCAAAAUUGUGCAAAAUUUGAUGUUGCAUUGGAGCAACUUUGCAACAAAAAAUGGUGCAAUGGUACAACUAUUGGAGAUGCCCUAAGUGCCACUUCUUGGUUGACCACCCAUAUGAGCAAGACUCAAAAAUUAUCCGAAAGUUGUUGGAGGGAAAUAAGUGAUUUAUGCGUAGGUUAACAUAACAAAUUUAAGAAUAUAAAAAAUAAAAUUCUAUAACAACAUAAAUAUAAGAAGAGAUUUAGAGAGCAAGUUUUAAAAAAUAAUGAAAUGGACGUUGUCGUAAAAUCGUAUUACUCUCUUAUGUUUGGAUACUUUCAACACUAUACAACUUCAAAAUAAAAAUCACAUAGCGCGCCAUCGGUUUUUCCUCAUGGGCACCAUCACAUAGAGAUAUAAAUGAUAUAUCGUGUGAAAAUUCAUCUUCCAAGUUGUGUAUUAAGAUUAUGUUUUCUAAUUAAAUAUCACCUACUUUUAUAGUCUAAAAUCAACCCCUAUAAUUAGGAAUGGAAAUAGAGCUCGCUGCCUUUGACUAUUUGUGGCUUGACCCGAAAAAAGCCCGAGCAGGAGUGGUUACAGAUUUUUAGACACAGAUAGAUAGCUAUAAAAACGGGGUCAUAUACUGCAUAUACAUUGUGGUGUCCACCCCUCUCACGUAGAGGGGGGGGCGCUUCAAAUAAAAUAUAAUUUAUUCAAAAUGGACCCCCUCCAUGUGAAGAUGGUGACUACCAGGUAGACACCACUUGACGUACAAGUAGCAUUAUCUUGAAGAAAAUGAAAAUUACAUUGUUAGUCUAUCUUUUAGUCAAUUUGGGUGUUAGUUUUGAAUUACAUAAAAGAGUAAUUAGUUGGUCUCAAUCUUUUAAAGUUGGUGUCUUGAUAAACUUUUGAAGUCAUUAAACAAUUUUGGUGGUUAUAUAUACUUGUAAAUGUGCACGUUUUUUGAUUGGUGGAUCUAGUUAUCUUUAUAUAUUUGACGAGCUUUUAAAAAGAUUUUGAAUUCAAGGUAUUUGACGAUUUAAUUUUGUGUUAGAAAUGCUUUAGUAAAUCGAGUAUUUGAGCUGAACUCGAGAUAAUAAGAGGCACAGGUCCUUUUCACUGAUGUUAUGAAUGAUUAGUUUAAUAGUUCGAGUGGUUUGUCAUUGUUGAUCGUGACCCUUGAUGAUCUAUCUUGUAUCAAGCUAUUUGUUUCAAUUGUGC